AUUGAACGCUGGCGGCAGGCCUAACACAUGCAAGUCGAACGAGUGGCGGACGGGUGAGUAAUGUCUGGGAAACUGCCUGAUGGAGGGGGAUAACUACUGGAAACGGUAGCUAAUACCGCAUACCAUCGGAUGUGCCCAGAUGGGAUUAGCUAGUAGGUGGGGUAAAGGCUCACCUAGGAGACGAUCCCUAGCUGGUCUGAGAGGAUGACCAGCCACACCGGAUCGGAACCACGGUCCAGCCUCCGACGGUAGGCAGCAGUGGGGAAUAUUGCACAAGGGGCGCAAGCCUGAUGCAGCCAUGCCGCGUGGAUGAAGAAGGGCUUCGGGUUGUAAAGUACUUUCAGCGUGGAGGCGUUACCCGCAGAAGAAGCACCGGCUAACUCCGUGCCAGCAGCCGCGGUAAUUC
rnacentral:rRNA from 1 species